rnacentral:rRNA from 1 species
AUCUUACUACUUGGAUAACCGUGGUAAUUCUAGAGCUAAUACAUGCUUAAAAUCCCGACUUCGGAAGGGAUGUAUUUAUUAGAUUAAAAACCAAUGCCCUUCGGGGCUCUCUGGUGAUUCAUGAUAACUUCUCGAAUCGCAUGGCCUUGCGCCGGCGAUGGUUCAUUCAAAUUUCUUCCCUAUCAACUUUCGAUGUUUGGGUAUUGGCCAAACAUGGUUGCAACGGGUAACGGAGGGUUAGGGCUCGACCCCGGAGAAGGAGCCUGAGAAACGGCUACUACAUCCAAGGAAGGCAGCAGGCGCGCAAAUUACCCAAUCCCGACUCGGGGAGGUAGUGACAAUAAAUACUGAUACAGGGUUCUUUUGGAUCUUGUAAUUGGAAUGAGUACAAUUUAAAUCCCUUAACGAGGAACAAUUGGAGGGCAAGUCUGGUGCCAGCAGCCGCGGUAAUUCCAGCUCCAAUAGCGUAUAUUAAAGUUGUUGUGGUUAAAAAGCUCGUAGUUGAACCUUGGGCCUGGCUGGCCGGUCCGCCUCACCGCGUGUACUGGUCCGGCCGGGCCUUUCCCUCUGUGGAACCCCAUGCCCUUCACUGGGUGUGGCGGGGAAACAGGACUUUUACUUUGAAAAAAUUAGAGUGCUCCAGGCAGGCCUUUGCUCGAAUACAUUAGCAUGGAAUAAUGAAAUAGGACGUGCGGUUCUAUUUUGUUGGUUUCUAGGACCGCCGUAAUGAUUAAUAGGGACAGUCGGGGGCAUCAGUAUUCAAUUGUCAGAGGUGAAAUUCUUGGAUUUAUUGAAGACUAACUACUGCGAAAGCAUUUGCCAAGGAUGUUUUCAUUAAUCAGGAACGAAAGUUAGGGGAUCGAAGACGAUCAGAUACCGUCGUAGUCUUAACCAUAAACUAUGCCGACUAGGGAUCGGACGGUGUUAACAAUUGACCCGUUCGGCACCUUACGAGAAAUCAAAGUGCUUGGGCUCCAGGGGGAGUAUGGUCGCAAGGCUGAAACUUAA